rnacentral:lncRNA from 1 species
GUGAUUAAAUAGCACCAUGACCGCCCACUUCAAUCCGAAGUCGUGCUUGCUGC